rnacentral:rRNA from 1 species
AUUGAACGCUGGCGGCAUGCCUUACACAUGCAAGUCGAACGGUAACAGGUCUUCGGAUGCUGACGAGUGGCGAACGGGUGAGUAAUACAUCGGAACGUGCCUAGUAGUGGGGGACAACUACUCGAAAGAGUGGCUAAUACCGCAUGAGAUCUACGGAUGAAAGCAGGGGAUCGCAAGACCUUGUGCUACUAGAGCGGCCGAUGGCAGAUUAGGUAGUUGGUGGGAUAAAAGCUUACCAAGCCGACGAUCUGUAGCUGGUCUGAGAGGACGAUCUGCCACACUGGGACUGAGACACGGGCCAGACUCCUACGGGAGGCAGCAGUGGGGAAUUUUGGACAAUGGGCGCAAGCCUGAUCCAGCAAUGCCGCGUGCAGGAUGAAGGCCUUCGGGUUGUAAACUGCUUUUGUACGGAACGAAAAGCCCUGGGUUAAUACCCUGGGGUCAUGACGGUACCGUAAGAAUAAGCACCGGCUAACUACGUGCCAGCCGCCGCAGUAA